rnacentral:rRNA from 1 species
GACGAACGCUGGCGGCGUGCUUAACACAUGCAAGUCGAACGGAAAGGCCCUGCUUUUGUGGGGUGCUCGAUUGGCGAACGGGUGAGUAACACGUGAGUAACCUGCCCUUGUCUUUGGGGUAACUUCACGAAACUGGGGCUAAUAUCGGAUAGGAGAUCCUGCUCCAUGGUGGGGGUUGGAAAGUUUCGGCGGUUGGGGAUGGACUCGCGGCUUAUCAGCUUGUUGGUGGGGUAGUGGCUUACCAAGGGUUUGACGGGUAGCCGGCCUGAGAGGGUGGACGGCGACAUUGGGACUGAGAUACGGACCAGACUGCUACGGGAGGCAGCAGUGGGAAAUAUUGCACAAUGAGCGGAAGCGUGAUGCAGAGACGCCGCGUGCGGGAUGACGGCCUUCUGGUUGUGAACCGCUGUCGCCUGUGACGAAGCGUGAGUGACGGUAAUGGGUAAAGAAGCACCGGCUAACUACGUG